CAGUAGCCACGGUAAUACGUAGGGUGCGAUCGUUAAUCGGAAUUACUGGGCGUAAAGCGUGCGCAGGCGGUUUUGUAAGACAGAGGUGAAAUCCCCGGGCUCAACCUGGGAACUGCCUUUGUGACUGCAAGGCUAGAGUACGGCAGAGGGGGAUGGAAUUCCGCGUGUAGCAGUGAAAUGCGUAGAUAUGCGGAGGAACACCGAUGGCGAAGGCAAUCCCCUGGGCCUGUACUGACGCUCAUGCACGAAAGCGUGGGGAGCAAACAGGAUUAGAUACCCGAGUAGUCCCUGUCUCUUAUAC
rnacentral:rRNA from 1 species